rnacentral:rRNA from 1 species
CGCCGUGCGGCAGCUACACAUGCAGUCGAGCGGUAGCACAGAGAGCUUGCUCUCGGGUGACGAGCGGCGGACGGGUGAGUAAUGUCUGGGAAACUGCCUGAUGGAGGGGGAUAACUACUGGAAACGGUAGCUAAUACCGCAUAAUGUCGCAAGACCAAAGUGGGGGACCUUCGGGCCUCAUGCCAUCAGAUGUGCCCAGAUGGGAUUAGCUAGUAGGUGGGGUAACGGCUCACCUAGGCGACGAUCCCUAGCUGGUCUGAGAGGAUGACCAGCCACACUGGAACUGAGACACGGUCCAGACUCCUACGGGAGGCAGCAGUGGGGAAUAUUGCACAAUGGGCGCAAGCCUGAUGCAGCCAUGCCGCGUGUGUGAAGAAGGCCUUCGGGUUGUAAAGCACUUUCAGCGGGGAGGAAGGCGGUGAGGUUAAUAACCUCAUCGAUUGACGUUACCCGCAGAAGAAGCACCGGCUAACUCCGUGCCAGCAGCCGCGGUAAUACGGAGGGUGCAAGCGUUAAUCGGAAUUACUGGGCGUAAAGCGCACGCAGGCGGUCUGUCAAGUCGGAUGUGAAAUCCCCGGGCUCAACCUGGGAACUGCAUUCGAAACUGGCAGGCUAGAGUCUUGUAGAGGGGGGUAGAAUUCCAGGUGUAGCGGUGAAAUGCGUAGAGAUCUGGAGGAAUACCGGUGGCGAAGGCGGCCCCCUGGACAAAGACUGACGCUCAGGUGCGAAAGCGUGGGGAGCAAACAGGAUUAGAUACCCUGGUAGUCCACGCCGUAAACGAUGUCGAUUUGGAGGUUGUGCCCUUGAGGCGUGGCUUCCGGAGCUAACGCGUUAAAUCGACCGCCUGGGGAGUACGGCCGCAAGGUUAAAACUCAAAUGAAUUGACGGGGGCCCGCACAAGCGGUGGAGCAUGUGGUUUAAUUCGAUGCAACGCGAAGAACCUUACCUGGUCUUGACAUCCACAGAACUUUCCAGAGAUGGAUUGGUGCCUUCGGGAACUGUGAGACAGGUGCUGCAUGGCUGUCGUCAGCUCGUGUUGUGAAAUGUUGGGUUAAGUCCCGCAACGAGCGCAACCCUUAUCCUUUGUUGCCAGCGGUUAGGCCGGGAACUCAAAGGAGACUGCCAGUGAUAAACUGGAGGAAGGUGGGGAUGACGUCAAGUCAUCAUGGCCCUUACGACCAGGGCUACACACGUGCUACAAUGGCAUAUACAAAGAGAAGCGACCUCGCGAGAGCAAGCGGACCUCAUAAAGUAUGUCGUAGUCCGGAUUGGAGUCUGCAACUCGACUCCAUGAAGUCGGAAUCGCUAGUAAUCGUAGAUCAGAAUGCUACGGUGAAUACGUUCCCGGGCCUUGUACACACCGCCCGUCACACCAUGGGAGUGGGUUGCAAAAGAAGUAGGUAGCUUAACCUUCGGGAGGGCGCUACCACUUGAUCGGGG